UACGUAGGGUGCAAGCGUUGUCCGGAAUUAUUGGGCGUAAAGAGCUCGUAGGCGGUUUGUCGCGUCUGCUGUGAAAACUCAGGGCUUAACCCUGAGCCUGCAGUGGGUACGGGCAGACUAGAGUGUGGUAGGGGAGACUGGAAUUCCUGGUGUAGCGGUGAAAUGCGCAGAUAUCAGGAGGAACACCGGUGGGCGAAGGCGGGGUC
rnacentral:rRNA from 1 species